GGCGGAACGCGAGGUGUUCGUUAGUCGUGGUACGCUGUCACCGCCGCCGCCGUCAUCGCGCCGCCACUACACACACAUUUAUAUAUAUAUACAUAUGUGUAUAUAUGUAUAUAUAUAGUAUUAUAUAUACAUCUACAUUUACGUGACAAAUAGUACGUGUGUGCGUGUAUUACGUGCACGCGAGCGCGCGCGCGCGUCUCGUCUGCCUGCCUGCCUACCUGCCUACCUGCCUACCUACCUAUCCGUCUACCCACCUCUCUCUCUCUCUCUCUCUCUCUCUGUCUACAUUUCUCUACCGGUGUAAUUUCGUGCGAGUAGUGGUCCACUUUCGAACGGGAGACACGCACUCCGAGAGGGAUUAAAGUGCUACGCGGGGCAAAGCUGCGACACGGCCGAUUGUUCGCACAGAUGUCUGUCUACUCUCGAUGGUGACAAUAAUUUGUCUACGCUGAGAUGACGAUGAAAUACUGAAGAGUUUUCCAUUCAUGAAAAUGAAUGAAGAGGGCCGUGCGCGAGGAUGAACGCUUGAGCGUAAAAGUUGAAGAGACAGACCUACACAACGAAUAGCAAAAGCCUGCCUCGUCCAUUGCGACCAGCUACAUAUCUCACGUUAAGAUGACAUAGAAUGGGUUGGGUGGCGCUAGGGCGGUGUGCGGGUGGUGGCGGCCGCCUCUCGUCCAUCCUCUCGCUGUCUCUCACCUCCUUCGCGAGUUCCCUCAUCUUCACCUCCCUUUGUAUCCUUACACUUGCCUUUACUCUCGUCACCCUCGCUCGUGCCGAAGACAUCUUCGAGGAGGGAAAAUCGGACAAGGAGAUUCUGGACAACCUGCUGCUAGCGACCCGUUACGACAAGCGGCUUCUGCCGCCGGUCCAAGAUGCUGAUUUCUGCUGCGGAAUGAGAUGGCCUGGUGACACUACCGGCUUGACAAACCAGUCGUCGAUCUCUUCUAACGACGCCAAGAACCAGAACAAGAACCAGAACAAUAACCACUACACGUCGCACCAAUACCGCACUCACCUUCGCGGAACGUUGACCGUAAACGUGAGCGUAUUGCUGCUAAGCUUAGCAUCUCCUGACGAGUCCAGUCUGAAAUACGAGGUGGAAUUCUUACUGCAGCAACAGUGGUACGAUCCACGAUUGCGUUAUAGCAACAGAUCAAGAUAUGAGUUUUUAAAUGCGAUUCACCAUUACGAGAAUAUCUGGUUGCCGGAUACGUAUUUCAUAAUGCAUGGAGAUUUCAAAGAUCCCCUCAUUCCUGUUCACUUCGCCCUGCGGAUAUACCGCAACGGCACCGUCAACUAUCUUAUGCGGCGUCAUCUUAUCCUAUCCUGCCAGGGUAGACUUAAUAUCUUCCCUUUUGACGACCCAUUGUGUUCAUUCGCAAUCGAGAGCAUAUCGUAUGAGCAGACAGCGAUUACGUAUGUGUGGAAAAAUGAUGAGGGUACGUUACGAAAAAGCCCAAGCCUGACGUCACUGAAUGCGUAUCUCAUUAAAAAUCAGACAAUCACAUGUCCGAUCAAAGUGAGCUGGCGAGCUGACGGACAGAUCGUGGUUGAGGAGGACGAGUUCGAUGAUUUUGGAGACUCUAAGUGCUCGCUGUGCCAGCGCAGAUUUGAGGAGCAAGGUAAUUACAGCUGCUUGAAGGUGGAUCUGAUCUUCACGCGAGAUCGUUCCUUCUAUUUUACUACGGUUUUCAUCCCGGGCAUUAUUCUAGUAACCAGCUCUUUCAUCACAUUUUGGCUCGAAUGGAAUGCCGUGCCGGCGCGAGUGAUGAUUGGUGUAACAACGAUGCUCAACUUUUUCACCACGUCGAAUGGCUUCCGGGGAACGCUGCCCGUCGUUUCGAACUUGACUGCCAUGAACGUGUGGGACGGCGUGUGCAUGUGCUUCAUCUACGCGAGUCUUCUCGAGUUCGUCUGCGUGAAUUACGUCGGCCGCAAACGGCCGAUGCACAACGUUGUCUAUCGUCCGGGCGAGAAUCCCGUCACCCAGCGGCUUCCAGCGGUGCUCAGCAGGAUAGGAAUUAUAUUGGCCAGCCCCUUGAAGCGGGAGGGCGGAGCUGCUACCGGUGGUACUACUGGACCGAACGAGAUCGUCACUUGCACCAAUUGCGGACCUAAUCCCUGCACGCAUACGGCAACGAACGGUUGCACCGCCGAGCUAAGGAAAAAGGACCCGCCGCAUCCAAUUAGAGUGGCGAAGACGAUCGACGUGAUAGCCAGGAUCACUUUCCCAGUCGCCUAUUUCAUGUUCCUCACCUUCUUCUUCAUUCACUAUAAGGGCACCUCGUAGAAUGACGCACAACGAUCUCCGAGAGAUCUCCCAUCGCUGGUAUGAGCGACAACGAAACUUUCCAAUAGGCAAGAGUAACGCAGACAAGCAGGAUUCAGAAAUUCUUACGGAGUCGUGGAUGUUACCUGACUGCAAUGAACGAACGAAAUCAAACAGAUCAGCUGUAAUGAGUGGACGGGACGUCUGAGGGAUAAGAGACUUUCUCUCCCGAAGGAAGGAAGGAAGGAAGAGGGCCAUUAGUACGACGGUAUUCGAAGGUAUAAAGGACACGGAUACCAACGAUGGAUCGUCUCCGACUAUUCUUCAUCUCCUCUCACGUGUGAUAGCUCUUGAAAGCACUCCUCUACGGGGGAAGUAGAUUACGAUCGCUUCGCGAUCCUGCGCAGCGGCCAUAUACACUUAUCUUCAUUAUUCUUUUCUCUUUCUUAUAUCUUAGAUAGGUAAUAGAAUGUGUCGCUGGCGAACACUUUGGCCAAGCAGAGAGAAUGACGCUUAGCUUAAUUAACGAUCGAUGAUCAAACGUACUUGUGUAAGAUAUAAUAUUGCAGACGAACCUCUGUAUUCUUAACACCUGUAAUCUUAACAUUCUUACGACGUGUUCCGAAAUGCCCUAACAAUACAGAAAAUGUACCAUUCACGUUACGUAUAUACAAUACAUUUAAAUGUCAGUACAUUUCGGAAUGCGCGCCCUUAAUCUCCGUAUUUUUAACACCUUUUUCUAGCACUGCUCUCCGCCAGUCAUAUUUGCCGCGCAAUCAUUAAGCGACAAAACUUCUCCUUAUAUCCGCGGCACUAAAUGGGCUGAUUGUAAUUAGUUUACACAGCCUUAAGCGAAUAGUACUGGCCACUAUCGAAGGCACUAUUGCUUCAUUUCGAAGAGAUUCGCAUAUCAUAUUCUUGAGUUGAUACACAGAGUGAGAAAUAGAGAAAAGGGGCCGAAGGGAUCUAGAAAAAGGAUAGAAAUAUGGAGAUUAAAUGUAAAGACAAUUUUUUUUAAUGGAAGAAGAUUGACAACGAUCUUGGGACGGCAGUUCUUUCGUAAAGUAAAGAAAGUGUACUCAGAAGAGGAAAACUUUUACAUUUCGUUUAACAUGUUUAACGUAAAAGAUCUUAUAAGUUGUACAGCAUAAACAGUUUCACAGAAUGCACAAUAUAAUAUUUUCUGUAAUUAUAAGAACAAACAACCGAGCCAAAAAGAUUGCAUUAAACAAUACUGUAACUAUCCAGGUUUGUUGAAAACACAUUUUAAUAAGUAAUUAUUAUGAAUAUAGUCGACAGAAUUUCGGAAAUAUAACAAAAUCUGCUAACACAUAACGGCAAGCCGCAGAAAUCGAGCAUAAUUUGUCAUUUCAUAAUCGCUUGAAUGAUAUAUUCCAUUUAACUUACAAAAUAAUAGAUUUUGUACGAGUUUUGCUGGCUCUAACAUUAGAUUACAUAUCGGCGAAGGAAAUUGAACAUGAACUUAAUGUAAAUGCAUUGAUGCUAAUCUGCCUCAAUAUUCUGCUCAAAUCUGCUGACAAAUUGCAACAAUUAUAAUAGUUUAACGUAAAUAGAGAUCUAACGCUCUGCGAAAUUUGCUUGAGAAGACGUGAGGAGUUUAAGUAUUGUAUGUUUAAUUGAAGUUAAGGAUAGAACUAAUGUUCAUGGAAACUGACCAUGGUGUCAAAAUAUCCGAAGAUAUUAAAGAUACAGAAUCUGUCCUUUUUUUCUGCCAUUAUUUUAUACAUGUAAUGUUUUUUGAGUUGAGAAUUUUAUUCGUCAACGGCACCACACAUCCUCAUUGUGUGUAUCAUUCAAGUGAAAAUCGAAACCGAUGGGGAAAGAAUAGGAAGAGAUCGUUUGACUGAUGCUAAGAAUAUGGACGUUCGAACUGUACUAGUGCAAGCAAAAAAAACACACACUAUCCGUGGACGUGGUUGAUUCGUGACCAGUGUUUUAUCGAUAUUGAAUCUUUCGCUUGUCGCGCUGCGCCUAAUUUUCAAAGUCGAAAAUCAGAAACCGAACGUUGAAACGAUUCGUGAGGACCGCGGUGGGGCAGUUACAGGAUAUUUCACGUAACAUAAAUAAUUGUUGAGGACGAGAGAGAGAGAGCGGGAUAAGUGUAUCGAGAUUGACUAGGUAGAUAGGUAGGUAGAGAGCUGGAUAUAGAUUACAGAUAAAGCUUUCGUUGUGAUACGUCUACCGGUAAGUGAAGAGUUUAGUAUACGCGUCAAGUAUCCUGUAUUCAGAUCUAAUAGAAGCUGUUAGAUGAAACCGAAAAAAAAAGUCGAGUCGGGAAACGAAGAGCCUAUUUCCUCCGUGCCAGAGUAUAUACAUGCUAUUUGCCACGACGCAGUGUGUACGUGUAUAUCGAAGCAAAGCCGCCGCCAUUAGCGCGAUAAUAUAAAUGGAAGAUGCUAAAAUGCUACGGACACUUUACUUUGUAAGAGUAGGAGGACAUAUACGUCACUAUGGCGAACGCCGAGGCGAGAGAAGGAAGGCAAGUGGUCGGUUUAUGAUGCGAUGCGCGGCCGCACCGGGAAAGACUAUCUAUCUUGACAUUACUGAAAGUAACAAUACGCCAUACAAUCGCGCUUUCUUCUCGACCGGAUAAUUAGGUACGUCUCUACGAUAUGCGUCAAGCGUCGUCGACUAGCUCGGAUACUAUUGUGUAGCUUGCGUACUAUUUUAGAUGCAACAUCGCUACGCUACACUACUACUAUAUAUCACUAUUACUACUUUUAUUAUUAUCGCAACUAAUAUUAUUAUACUGUUACAGUUGCUAUUUUAGUAUUCGUAUUAUCGCUACUACUGUUACUAUUAUUACAGAUACACUAUUGUAAUAUCGCAGAUCUUAGGCGAGACGCGGAAUCGGGAGCGCCUACGAAGCGCCUACCAUUUAUACUGAUCGAAUCACCCAUUUAUUGUCCAGCAAUAUUAAAAGAAACAGCAGACCAAA